GACGAACGCUGGCGGCGUGCUUAACACAUGCAAGUCGAGCGGAGCGGCGAACGGGUGAGUAAGGCGUGAGUAAUUGCCCCCCUCCCUGGGAUAACAGUUGGAAACGGCUCCUAAUACCGGAUAGUGGGGGAUGACUCGGGGCCUAUCAGCUUUUUGGUGGGGUGGUGGCCUACCAAGCCGACGACGGGUAGCCGGCCUGGGAGGGCGACCGGCCACAUUGGGCUGAGAUACGGACCAAACUCCUACGGGAGGCAGCAGUGGGGAAUAUUGCACAAUGGGGGAAACCCUGAUGCAGCAACGCCGCGUGCGGGAUGACGGCCUUCGGGUUGUAAACCGCUUUCAGCCAUGACGCGGUAGUGGCAGAAGAAGCACCGGCUAACUACGUGCCAGCAGCCGCGGUAAUAC
rnacentral:rRNA from 1 species